UCAGGGGCGGAGGGAUCCCUCAGCCAGAUUGCAAGAGGGCGCAGGCCAGGCUGAGGGACCCCACCAGUACAUG
rnacentral:pre_miRNA from 1 species